AAAAGAAAAAAAGAACAUGAAAAAAAGAAAAAAGAGAAAAGAUAAAAAAGAAAAAAGAUAAAGAAAAGAGAAAAGAAAAAAAGAAAAUAGAAAUAAAAAAGAGGACAGAAAAAUAUGAAAAAAAGAAAAAAAGAAAAGAAAAAAACAGUAGAUGAAAAAAGAAAAAACAAAAGGAAAAACGAAUAAUGACAAGAGAAGAAAGGUAAAGAGAAAAGAAGAAAAAAGCCAAGUCAAAAAGUAAAGAAUAACUCGAAGGAAGGAGUGGAUGGCAAGAAAUAGAGAGAAAGCAGUGCAUAGCACAGCAGAGCAAAGCAAGGCAAAAUAGCAGCCAAAGCCACGAGAAUCAAGAAGUCAGUGAAGAGCAGGAAAGGAAUGGAGGGAUCUGUCCAGAGCUGUGCCCCUGCUUGCCACAGGAGCUGCGCGGGAGGAGAAGAACGUGGGCCAAAAGGAAUGGAGGAAUCUGGCCAGAGCUGUGCCCCUGCUUGCCACAGGAGCUGCGCGGGAGGAGAAGAACGUGGGCCAAAAGGAAUGGAGGAAUCUGGCCAGAGCUGUGCCCCUGCUUGCCACAGGAGCUGCGCGGGAGGAGAAGAACGUGGGCCAAAAGGUAAGAGGAGCUCCUUUGGGUUCUGGGCUUGAAGCAAAGCU
ensembl:lncRNA